rnacentral:misc_RNA from 1 species
GAUGAAGAACGCAGCGAAAUGCGAUACGUAAUGUGAAUUGCAGAAUUCAGUGAAUCAUCGAGUCUUUGAACGCACAUUGCGCCCCCUGGUAUUCCGGGGGGCAUGCCUGUCCGAGCGUCAUUGCUGCCCUCAAGCACGGCUUGUGUGUUGGGCCUCCGUCCUCCUCCCGGGGGACGGGCCCGAAAGGCAGCGGCGGCACCGCGUCCGGUCCUCGAGCGUAUGGGGCUUCGUCACCCGCUCUUGUAGGCCCGGCCGGCGCUUGCCGACACAUCAAUCUUUUUUCCAGGUUGACCUCGGAUCAGGUAGGGAUACCCGCUGAACUAAAGAAUAUCAAUAAGCGGAGGA